CGGACGGGUGAGUAACGCGUGGGUGACCUGCCCCAUACCCGGGGGAGUACCACCUGGAAACAGGUGCUAAUACCGCAUAAGCGCACGGGAGCGCAUGCUCCUGUGUGAAAAACUCCGGUGGUAUGGGAUGGACCCCGCGUCUGAUUAGCCAGUUGGCAGGGUAACGGCCUACCAAAGCGACGAUCAGUAGCCGGCCUGAGAGGGUGGACGGCCACAUUGGGACUGAGACACGGCCCAAACUCCUACGGAAGGCAGCAG
rnacentral:rRNA from 1 species